CCAACAGGGAUUGCCUUAGUAACGGCGAGUGAAGCGGCAACAGCUCAAAUUUGAAAGCUGGCUCUUUCAGGGUCCGCGUUGUAAUUUGUAGAGGAUGAUUCGGCGAGGGCUCCCGCCUAAGUCCCCUGGAACGGGGCGUCAUAGAGGGUGAGAAUCCCGUAUGCGGUGGGCUGCCUUAGCCAUGUGAAUCUCCUUCGACGAGUCGAGUUGUUUGGGAAUGCAGCUCUAAAUGGGAGGUAAAUUUCUUCUAAAGCUAAAUACCGGCCAGAGACCGAUAGCGCACAAGUAGAGUGAUCGAAAGAUGAAAAGCACUUUGGAAAGAGAGUUAAAAAGUACGUGAAAUUGUUGAAAGGGAAGCGCUUGCAACCAGACUUGUCCGCAGUUGCUCAGCCGGUCUCCUGACCGGCGUACUCUUCUGCGGCCAGGCCAGCAUCAGUUCGGGCGGUCGGAUAAAGACCUCGGGAAUGUAGCUCCUCUCGGGGAGUGUUAUAGCCCGGGGUGGAAUGCGGCCAGCCUGGACUGAGGAUCUCGCUUCGGCAAGGAUGCUGGCGUAAUGGUUGUAAGCGGCCCGUCUUGAAACACGGACCAAGGAGUCUAACAUCUAUGCGAGUGUUUGGGUGUCAAACCCAUACGCGUAAUGAAAGUGAACGGAGGUGGGAACCCUCACGGGUGCACCAUCGGCCGAUCCUGAUGUCUUCGGAUGGAUUUGAGCAAGAGCAUAGCUGUUGGGACCCGAAAGAUGGUGAACUAUGCCUGAAUAGGGUGAAGCCAGAGGAAACUCUGGUGGAGGCUCGCAGCGGUUCUGACGUGCAAAUCGAUCGUCAAAUUUGGGUAUAGGGGCGAAAGACUAAUCGAACC
rnacentral:rRNA from 1 species